rnacentral:snRNA from 1 species
AUACUCCGGUUUCUCUUCAAAUCAUAUAAAUCUUUUGCUUUUUACUAAAGAUUGUCAUGGAGAGGAACAAUAGUGAGUCUUAGUUCAAUUUUUUGAGGCCCUGUUUCUGUGGGACU